UACAGAGGGUGCUAGCGUUGUUCGGAAUCAUUGGGCGUAAAGGGCGUGUAGGCGGUUUGUUAAGUCAUGUGUGAAAUCCCUCGGCUCAACCGGGGAAGGACGCAUGAAACUGGCAAGCUAGAGUACCAAAGAGGGGGGUGGAAUUCCCGGUGUAGUGGUGAAAUGCGUAGAGAUCGGGAGGAACACCUGUGGCGAAGGCGGCCCCCUGGGCCGGCCCUGACACUGAGACGUGAAGGCGUGGGGAGCGAACGGG
rnacentral:rRNA from 1 species